ACGAAGGGUGCAAGCGUUACUCGGAAUUACUGGGCGUAAAGCGUGCGUAGGUGGUUGUUUAAGUCUGAUGUGAAAGCCCUGGGCUCAACCUGGGAAUGGCAUUGGAUACUGGAUAGCUAGAGUGCGGUAGAGGGUAGUGGAAUUCCCGGUGUAGCAGUGAAAUGCGUAGAGAUCGGGAGGAACAUCCGUGGCGAAGGCGACUACCUGGGCCAGCACUGACACUGAGGCACGAAAGCGUGGGGAGCAAACAG
rnacentral:rRNA from 1 species